UGCGUAGGCGGGGCAAUUAGUCAGUGGUGAAAUCCUGCGGCUUAACCGUAGAAUUGCCAUUGAUACUGUUGCUCUUGAGUAUAGUUGAGGUGGGCGGAAUGUGUAAUGUAGCGGUGAAAUGCAUAGAGAUUACACAGAACACCAAUUGCGAAGGCAGCUCACUAAGCUAUAACUGACGCUGAGGCACGAAAGCGUGGGGAGCGAACAGGAUUAGAUACCCUGGUAGUCC
rnacentral:rRNA from 1 species